CUUGUAGCCUUAACAUUUAAAGCUGAUAUUCUUGAAUUGAAGAAAGUUAUCUUUUGACUACUAUUGAUUACAGCAACGGAAUUUGUUUGUUUUUGUUUUGUAAAAGGAAGAAGGAAAAACAAACACUCAUGAGUGUAGUGUCUUUGGCCAGAUUCUUUUAACAUGAGUAUUUUGUGGUUUAUGGAUUCCUAGUCCGAAAGGUUGUCUCCAAGUGUCCAAGACAAAACAGCUAUGUGUCCUAGUUGGAAGAAAAUUUCCCCUUUCCUUUGCAGCUAAGCUAAUUGUGCCAUGUCUAGCAAGCACGGCGGCGUGUAGUAUCCGGUGUUGCCUUGCUAACGCACCUCAGUCCUGACCACAACCUUCCUGCCUGCACUAGCUUGCACUCCGGUCACUGCUAAAUUACAGGUACCCUUCCUUAGGGUGCAGGACAGCAUCAAGGAAUCCCACUUGUCAGGUUUUCACAGCAGCAAACACAAAACACCACUCUCACUUUCUUACGCUUCCACGUAGAAGUUACUGCUGGCAGUGAGCCAAACUGUCAGCAUUACAGGUAAUUCAAGCCAUUUAAAUUCUGCAAGAAUAAUAUUUUUUUUGGUCCAUCCUAUCCUAUGACGUUAUCUUAGCAAUACAUAGGCUGGCAGCAAAGAAAAGGAGGAGGUCUUGUUAGGGGAGAAAGUAUGGUAUCUCAAUCCUGUUCUUACCUCUCUUCUCAACUUGCAUUAAGGCAUUAGCAAUGUGAAAAAAACUGAAAAAGGAGUUGUGACAAUGCCAGGAAAUCACGGGUCCAGCAACAGAGAACUCAUUGCCCUCCCUGGAUGUGAAGAAGAGGAGACAGCUGAGUCAGAAUGGACUGAGAGCUCCCACUUCAUCUUGAGUAAAUUUGAAGUCUGACUGCAUCAUAAAGCAAUGAAGAAGCACUAGGCUGUUAUGUAAGGAUUGAAGGUAUCUGUGCCAUGGCAGAGCUGGCAGCACUGGCAAGCCGAGGCCCGUAACCCUGUUGGGCACCUCUAGGCUGGAGAACUGGCACCACGUCGCUCUGAAUCUCA